UGGUUGAUCCUGCCAGUAAUCAUAUGCUUGUCUCAAAGAUUAAGCCAUGCAUGUCUAAGUAUAAGCAAUUGUACAGCGAGACUGCGGAUGGCUCAUUAAAUCAGUUAUAAUUUGCGUGAUUAAAUUUAAUUGGAUAACCGUAGCAAUUCUAGGGCUAAUACAUGAUUUGCAGCGCAAGCUGUGAGUUUAUGGGCUUGAACUAACGCGGUUUUCCGUUUUAGAUGAUUCACUGUAAAUAGUCUGAUCGCAUGGCCUUGUGCCGGCGACAAUUCAUUCAAAUAUCUGCCCUAUCAGCUUUCGAUGGUGGUGUAGUUGACCACCAUGGCCAUAACGGGUACGGGGAACCAGGGUUCGGUUCCGGAGAGGGAGCAUUGAGAGAUGGCUACCACUUCCAAGGAAGGCAGCAGGCGCGCAAAUUACCCAAUAGCAAUACGCUGAGGUAGUGACAAGAAAUAACAAUACGGGUCCCUUAAAAGGACUCGUAAUUGGAAUGAGUACAAUUUAAACCCCUUAACGAGGAACAAUUGGAGGACAAGUCUGGUGCCAGCACCCGCGGUAAUUCCAGCUCCAAUAGCGUAUAUUAAAGUUGUUGCAGUUAAAAAGCUCGUAGUCGAAUUUUGGGGUUCUGCUUGUCUGGUCUGCCGAGAAGGUGUGUACUGGCUUGCAAGCCCCUAUUCUCAGUGCUGGCCGCUGCUCUUAACUGAGUGGAGGUUUGGCUCUGGGACUUUUACUUUGAAAAAAUUAGGGUGUUCAAAGCAGGCGUGACCGACCAGAAUAAAUUAGCAUAGGAUAAUGGAAUAUGGCGACUGAGGCCUUUUCCGUUGGUUCGGGGUCUCACGCAAUGAUUAAUAGGAACAGUUGGGGGUAUUCAUAUGUAGUGGCUAGAGGUGAAAUUCUUGGAUUCACUACAGAUGAACUGCUGCGAAAGCGUUUAUCAAGGACGUUUUCAUUGAUCAAGAACGAAAGUUAGGGGAUCGAAGACGAUCAGAUACCGCCGUAGUCUUAACCUUAAACGUUGCCGACUGGAGAUUGUGGGACGUUACUUGGAUGACUCUCACAGCAUCCCCCGGGAAACCAAAGUUUUUGGGUUCUGGGGGGAGUAUGGUCGCAAGGCUGAAACUUAAAGGAAUUGACGGAAAGGUACACCAGGAGUGGAGCCUGCGGCUUAAUUUGACACAACACGGGAAACCUCACCAGGUCCAGACACAAUAAGGAUUGACAGAUUGAGAGCUCUUUCUUGAUUUUGUGGGUGGUGGUGCAUGGCCGUUCUUGGUCGGUGGAGUGAUUUGUCUGGUUAAUUCCGAUAACGGACGAGACCUCUAUCUACUAAAUAGCCAAAUAAACAUCUGACGGGUGAAGGUUUGGGGCAGUGUGGCAGCUUCGGCUGUUGCUCUCUCUGGAUUGGAUCCUUGAUGAUUUGUAAAAGCUUCUUAGAGAGACUAUCAGGGUUUACCUGAUGGAAGGGAGGCAAUAACAGGUCUGUGAUGCCCUUAGAUGUCUUGGGCCGCACG
rnacentral:rRNA from 1 species